rnacentral:rRNA from 1 species
GACGAACGCUGGCGGCGUGCCUAAUACAUGCAAGUAGAACGCUGAAGGAGGAGCUUGCUCUUCUGGAUGAGUUGCGAACGGGUGAGUAACGCGUAGGUAACCUGCCUGGUAGCGGGGGAUAACUAUUGGAAACGAUAGCUAAUACCGCAUAAGAGUAGAUGUUGCAUGACAUUUACUUAAAAGGUGCAAUUGCAUCACUACCAGAUGGACCUGCGUUGUAUUAGCUAGUUGGUGGGGUAACGGCUUACCAAGGCGACGAUACAUAGCCGACCUGGAAGGGUGGUCGGCCACACUGGGACUGAGACACGGCCCAGACUCCUACGGGAGGCAGCAGUAGGGAAUCUUCGGCAAUGGACGGAAGUCUGACCGAGCAACGCCGCGUGAGUGAAGAAGGUUUUCGGAUCGUAAAGCUCUGUUGUAAGAGAAGAACGAGUGUGAGAGUGGAAAGUUCACACUGUGACGGUAUCUUACCAGAAAGGGACGGCUAACUACGUG